UACGGGGGGAGCAAGCGUUGUUCGGAUUUACUGGGCGUAAAGGGCGCGUAGGCGGCCACUGCAAGUCGGUUGUGAAAUCUCCGGGCUUAACCCGGAAAGGUCAACCGAUACUGCAGGGCUAGAGUGCGGAAGGGGCAACUGGAAUUCUCGGUGUAGCGGUGAAAUGCGUAGAUAUCAGGAGGAACACCGGUGGCGAAGGCGGGUCUCUGGGCAGUAACUGACGCUGAGGAGCGAAAGCGUGGGGAGCGAACAGG
rnacentral:rRNA from 1 species